AUCAUCACAGGUUGGUAGGUUUAUUGAACCGGCAUAUAUCUGCAAUCUGUCAUUCUAUGUGAAUUUUUAAAAAUUCUAUUAUUGCAUAAAAGAUUUUUUUCCAUUAAGAGUUGGGAAAAAUGGUAUUUGUGUUUACUUUUUACACUUGACACUUUGUAUAUGUGAUUAGAUCCAUUUGUUUGUUUGGGUCUGUCACAUAUUAGGGGAGAAGAAACACUGCGUAUGGCAAAACACAAGAAUAAAACCACAAAAAUUAAUACGAUUUCAGGACACACGAAGCAAAAACCUAUUUUUUCUAAACCGAGCAAAUGUCAAGUGAUUGUCUCUAAACAACUACAGGAAUCAGGCUUCAGCAUUUCCUCUAGCUUUUCUUCCAUAGGUGAAAGCUAGUUGCCAUUAAAAGCAAUGUCAUGAACACAAGAUAUCAGUUGUACUAUGGGUUGCUUGUCCUUUGCUUGAAAAUGUUAGUCCUUCAGAAUAAACCAAAAUUAACAGGUAGAUGUCACAUUACUCAAAGCCAGGAAUAUUAACAAAGAAAUCCAGUCUAUUCUUUUCCUUUUUUAAACAAAGAUUACAAAAUUGAAUUUUAUUGAGUUUCACACAAGAUGCACUUAUAAAAUUGGUACAGAAUGUCAUUUAACAGAAGAAAAGAAAAUAAAUUCCAAGCUUCCUUUAGCAACUGCUAAAUAACUGAAAAAAUUGUUACACCAAAUUCACAGAUAAUCUGAAUUUAAGUUUAAUGUUUAAAUUGCUCAAUGAAUAUAAAAUACAUCCAAAAUAAAAGAAUUUUAUAGUUUAUUCCCCCAUACAAUCUUCCCCUAAUAGUCUCCAGUGAUUUUGGCCAUUACUUCAGGUGCUCUUGGUGGGAGCAAAAGAUGGAGAGUGCAGCAACAAGCUCCUUUUAAAGCAGAGAAAGUUGCCCUGUAUGAUAAAACCCACCUUGCACUGCAACUUCUGCUCAGCCUCAUAACAUUCCUGUACAUUCAUCUCCACACUGUCAUAGUAAUACAGGUUUUAGGAAGUAGCACAUAUUCUGAACUUCCACGUCCUUUUCAUAAGCCAGCCUUUAAACUCUGGCUUUUCCACUCUGUGACAACUCUAAAUUAGACCACUUCUGUCAUUUGUUCAGUACUGAAAUAUUUGCAUCGUUUCCAAAAA